UAGUCAUAUGCUUGUCUCAAAGAUUAAGCCAUGCAUGUCUAAGUAUAAACUGCUUAUACUGUGAAACUGCGAAUGGCUCAUUAAAUCAGUUAUAGUUUAUUUGAUGGUACCUACUACUCGGAUAACCGUAGUAAUUCUAGAGCUAAUACGUGCGCAAAUCCCGACUUCUGGAAGGGACGUAUUUAUUAGAUUAAAGGCCAGCCGGGCUCUGCCCGACCUGCGGUGAAUCAUGAUAACUUCACGAAUCGCAUGGCCUUGUGCCGGCGAUGUUUCAUUC
rnacentral:rRNA from 1 species